AAACAGUACCAAAAACCAAGAGACCUCUUAAUUAGUAAUACCCUGGAAUUUAAACUCUGGGGAAUCAAACUCAUUUGUGAUUUUAAUACAGAACUUCUUUAAUAUGAUUCAACACGGUGGCCUAACUGUAGGCAUGGCUGAAUAACCACUACUGUAGAUGUUCUAGUGAUCUUAGAGCCCUCCUCUAAAGAGAACAGAUGUUUGAACUAGAUAGCUCACUAUCAGUCCUUUCCACACCCUGAGGAUUCUGAGUCUAUGAUGUUGUAUAACAAAUGUCUGAGACUCUAUUCUAACAUAAGUCUGAAUACAGAUGUGUGAGGCAAAACAGGCUUAAGUUACAAGAACUGUAAAAAAUUGGCUUAUUUUGAAUCUAAUAUACCGUUUACUUAUGUACAAGAAACAGUGACACUUGUUGUUGUUUUGUUUUUCAUUCCAGGGUGGUGAUUCCAAAGGAGAAAAUUUGUGUGUAUAUCAGAAGUUUGGUAUUGGAUUUGAUAUGAUGAUGAUUUUUCAGUUCAACUCCUGCUAAGGACAAUGGGCUAGAUUCUAUGCUGUGCCUCCCAGAACCCUGGUAGUGCACACCACUAUGGGCAUUUCUCCUCCACCCUAGAUGAGUAUCCCGGCCCGCAUACAAAAUGGACCUGUCAGCCAAAGAAACCAACUGCAAAACCUCAGUCACCCUUUACAUUUCUUCCUGCAACUCGCUGACAUUCAGGCAUAAAACCUUCCAAGGAGUUAGGACGUCUGAUGCGUUCCAUUAAAACUCCCCAGUAGAGCUCUUCCAGUGUCCUGCCCCAAGCCACAUGCCCUAUGCCAGGGAUUGUAGUGGGGGUGGGGUUGUGUAUGGACAGCCCCAAACUAGUCUUGUGAUGAAGCAGUUCUCCCCUGGCCCCUUGUGGCUCCUGUAUGGUCCCUAAACACCAGUGGAGAUUAUAGGGGCGAGAGCAGAGGCAAAGUUGGCCCCACUGGAAAGAACCCUAUUAACGUUAGUGGGAGUUGGUCUGAGCCUUUGUUUCUGUGCUUUUGAUUUACAGGAAGUGAUGUUCCUUUGCUCAUUAUUACUCACAGAUUUUAAUAUAGAAUAGGACAAAAUUCGAAUAACCCGUUUCUGCUACCAGCAGAAUCUCCAUGAUCUCUUGGGGAGUCUAUUGAAUGAUCAAGUCAAAUAUAUAAUUUUCUUAUCCUUUGUACAUAUUCCGCUAAAUCUCAGAUAUUUGUUUACUAAAUAUCAUCUUUGACCAGAUAACACUAAUUCUUCAUUCUACAUUAGAUUAAACAUUAAAUAUUCCAAUCAUUGAGCUUAGCUGAGAGCAAAGUAUUGGGGGAAAAGACUGUUUAAAUAAAGUGUAAAAAAAAAAUUACUGUUUUUUCUUUAAAUUUUAUCUGUUAUAGAAAUAUUCCUACACCCCUGUGAAAUUGAAGUAUAUUUAAUAUAUUUGUAAUUUACACAUGUUUUAUAUGUGCAUUUUUAUAACUGCUUCAUAUUUGGCCCUUUUGUUUAUAUUCUUAAUGUUAAUUACAUCAAAUACCUAAUUAAAUUAAAUUCUGUUAGAAUGAGACCGAGAAGUUACAAACUAUUUUUCCAAAAAUAGAAGAAAAAAAAGUGAUGCAUCCCAAUGGCAGAAUUUUGAGAUUAUCUCAUUGAAUUCUCCAUUAACAAGUAACUCUUCAUCUGUCAUUUUGAACAAUUGCUUCCUGGAUUUACUUCCUCUAGAAAAGUCAGAGCAAAUAAAGACCCAUGUUACACCAAGAGACUUCAUUAUCCUGGUGGUUUCAGAAGUGAGAGAAUCUUUCUUCCAUUUGCCUUUUUAUUUAUAGGAGUUAAUCCAUUGGAAAAAACUUUGGGUUUUUCCCCCCAAAAUUUGCCUUUCCUGUGACUCCCCCAGUUUAUUACAGAAUGACCCAAUACAAAACUCUUACAGACAUACUAAGGGACAGAUUUUAAAACCUAGCCUCCCAUUUGCAAGGAUAGUUUGCGAGUUCAAAUAAUGUCACCUAACAUCCUAAUCUGCAACUGGAUCACCCGAGUGCACCCUGCAGACCUUCUCCUGAAUUCACACACUGCGGAAUCCAAGAUGAUAGACACAGGUGCAGGGGUGUGUAUGGUUAGAUCCAGUUCCAGAAUCUAGCUCUUUGAAAUCCAGCUAACUGAUUGUACAUAUCAGUUAGACAUCUUGGUGAGAUUAAUUGUGCCUGUAGACCAUUGCAAAACUGAUAGGUGCAAAAUCAUGGUUGCAAAUUGAGAUACUGGUUGAAGCAGAUUUACGAUUUAAGCUUCUUUACAGACCAUCUCUACUUUUGUUUUAGUCCAUGUGAUGCACAGACUGAAAUUAAGGGAGAGUGGUAAAUGGGGAGAUUCUAAACUACAUGACAGUUUAUAAGGUUAUAAGUGAACAUACAUUUUCAUUUUCAAGAUAAUUCCGUGCAUCAUAACACAUAACUAUGGUCUCAGAAAGGUUUAAAACUUGUGUCCCUUGCCUAAGGUUUCAAUGUCUCCAAAAUGUGUAUUGUUUGGGUUUGCUUUUAUUUUGUUUCUUUUAUAUGUGAAUAUCACACUUGUUGUUAUUACACAUUCUUUGAGCUGUUAGGACUGUGCAUUUCACCAGAAAAAAUGAUGCUGAUGGUGUAGGCUCUGCUAAUGUUAUUUCCAAAAAGGUCUCUUAAAAAUCUAUCAUUGUACAUUCUUAUGCUUUAAGAUAUGCACUUGCUAUUGUCUGUUCUCACAUAUUAAGAUGUUACAGUAUAAUGUAUAACUGUCUGUCUGUAGCAUUUAGGAGGAGGCAUGCAAUGCCCCUCUACUGUACGUGUGCAUCACCACUUGCUUUUAUAACAGGAAACUGAGGUGAAGUUGUAUUGUUGAGACAUCAGUCAGUUGAUUUUAAUUUAUACUUUGUUUUAUGUUUUAAAGUGCCUAAUGAUUUUAUGUCAAAAACACAUUGGUUUCACAGUUAUGAUGCAUUCUUAGGACACUGUACCAGUUCCAUAUUGUUCUGUAAUGGAAUAUUUUUGCAAUUUCUGUUUGGAAAUAAAGACUUAUUAGACA